rnacentral:lncRNA from 1 species
UGUUAUUGAAAUUCUGUGUUCUUAUAUCUAUUUUCUGUAUUUCUCUACAUGAUUAAUCUGAAAUCCAACAUGGGUUUAAGAGGAAUCAUGGAGAUUAGUGAGUAAUCACCUUUUGAAUUCAUGGGUUAGGGAGAUUAAGGGUGAUUAGGUUAGAGCUAGGAUGUUUUAGUGUAGAUCAUUCAUAUUUCCUUGCUAGUAGAGUAUUCAUAAUGCAUCCUCUGAGUUGGCC